UACGAAGGGGGCAAGCGUUGUUCGGAUUUACUGGGCGUACAGGGAGCGUAGGCGGUUGGGUAAGCCCUCCGUGAAAUCUCCAGGCUUAACCUGGAAAGUGCAGAGGGGACUGUUCAGCUAGAGGAUGGGAGAGGAGCGCGGAAUUCCCGGUGUAGCGGUGAAAUGCGUAGAGAUCGGGAGGAAGGCCGGUGGCGAAGGCGGCGCUCUGGAACAUUUCUGACGCUGAGGCUCGAAGGCGUGGGGAGCAAACAGG
rnacentral:rRNA from 1 species